rnacentral:rRNA from 1 species
CCUACGGGUGGCAGCAGUGGGGAAUAUUGGGCAAUGGACGCAAGCCUGACCCAGCAACGCCGCGUGAAGGAAGAAGGCUUUCGGGUUGUAAACUUCUUUUAGGAAGGAAGAGAAGAAUACGGUACCUCUUGAAUAAGCCACGGCUAACUACGUGCCAGCCGCCGCGGGCAUACGUAGGUGGCCAGCGUUGUCCGGAUUUACUGGGUGUAAAGGGCGUGUAGGCGGGCGGACAAGUCAGAAGUGAAAUCCCGGGGCUCAACCACAGAACUGCAUUUGAAACUGGCGGUCUUGAGUGGGGGAGAGGCAGGCGGAAUUCCUAGUGUAGCGGUGGAAUGCGUAGAUAUUAGGAGGAACACCAGUGGCGAAGGCGGCCUGCUGGACCACAACUGACGGUGAGGCUCGAAAGCGUGGGGAGCAAACAGGAUUAGAUACCCCAGUAGUC